rnacentral:rRNA from 1 species
ACGAACGCUGGCGGCGUGCUUAACACAUGCAAGUCGAACGGAAAGGCCCUGCUUUUGUGGGGUGCUCGAGUGGCGAACGGGUGAGUAACACGUGAGUAACCUGCCCUUGACUUUGGGAUAACUUCAGGAAACUGGGGCUAAUACCGGAUAGGAGCUCCUGCUGCAUGGUGGGGGUUGGAAAGUUUCGGCGGUUGGGGAUGGACUCGCGGCUUAUCAGCUUGUUGGUGGGGUAGUGGCUUACCAAGGCUUUGACGGGUAGCCGGCCUGAGAGGGUGACCGGCCACAUUGGGACUGAGAUACGGCCCAGACUCCUACGGGAGGCAGCAGUGGGGAAUAUUGCACAAUGGGCGGAAGCCUGAUGCAGCAACGCCGCGUGCGGGAUGACGGCCUUCGGGUUGUAAACCGCUUUCGCCUGUGACCAAGCGUGAGUGACGGUAAUGGGUAAAGAAGCACCGGCUAACUACGUG